AUGAGCUCCGAGAAGGGCGGCGGAGUAAUCCUGGUCACCUUGCGGAGCCUCUUUACGCUGGACAAUGCUACUCGCAUUGCCAGUGUGGAGCUGUGGGUGCUGCUGACGACGGUGCUGCUGGUGUGGAGGUUCGUCCUCGACUUCUCCGGGCCAUGGUUCGGGAAGCCGAGCAGGAUGUUCCAAGUCCUGACCUUGGAGAUACUGACCCAAAACCUGGUGAUCUACACCAUCGGACUGAUGCAGCUAUCAGGCGCGAGGGUGAACGACUACUUCCAGGUGUGGGCGGUCCUGCUGGUGACCCUGCAGUACAGCGUCAAGAUCGGGCGCCCCUACAGCCGGUCCAAGCAGAUCCCGUUGCUGGACCUCAUGUCCUCCUUCUGGGCAGCCAAUCUCCUCCGGGUGCAGACCUUCUACCUCCUCAGGAUCCCCCUCUGGCUGAUCUGGUCCCUGAAUGUGGUUCGCAUCAUCGUGCUCUUCGUCACCUCCGGUAAAGCGGAGACUCAUAGCCAAGAGAGCAUGAGGCUGGUGAACGACUACAUGAGCUAUGAGGACAGGCUCCCUCCUGCUGCUGACCUUGCGGUGUCAUCCAUGAGUGGCCGCAAGUACCUGGUGCACGGGGAACACCGGGUGCUCAAGGAAGUACAGGAGGGCCGGCGGCGGGAGGGAUCUUGUUUCAGACGGAAGAGGGUAACAAAGCAGGCUGGCAGGAGCUACAAGAUUGAGUUGAAACCAGAUGGAGACCACAGCAAUCACUUCGUCACCGUGGAGAAGAUAUGGAGUCACACCAGCGGGAGUGGGUUGCUGGGAGCCGCUGCAGACCCGCGUGGAGAGCGCAAGGACCUGUGCCUCUCGUUCGCGCUCUACAAGCUGCUGCGCCGUCGGUUCUUCGACCUCCCGGUGCAUGAAGCGACCAGGCCGCGGGGGAAAGACAAGAUCCGCGAGCUCGUCUUCGGCUACAUCCUCGCGGACUGCGAGAGGGCGUUCCGCAUCACGGGGGUGGAGCUGUCCUUCCUCCAGGACCUCUUCCACAGCAAGCACGCCACCGUGUUCGCCGGCGGCCUCAUGGUCCCGCUCCGGAGCCUGCUGCUGUCGCUGGCCAUGGCCGCCGCGACGGGGUACAUCGCCUAUACCGCCCGGUACAUACCGGAGAGGAUGGAUCCAGCGGACCGGAACAGGAUCACGCACGGCGUGUUCGUCACGCGCGUCAUGGUCGGCAUCAUCAUUCUCAAGGAGCUCCUGGAGAUCUUUCUCUACGUGUCGUCGCGGUGGGCCAAGGUCCUGCUGCUGUGCAAGUACGCCCAGCAUCAUCAGUGCUGGCGGCAUCCGGUGGUGGAGAGGGCGAUGACGCUCGUGCUGUUUCUCGGCAGGAAAGCCGAGUGGAGCCAGCAGACGAUCGGUCAGCAGAACCUUCUGGUCACAUUCCAUGUGCCGAGGCCAGGCGUGCCGCCUCUGUUUACAUGGACGAAGGUACUCCGUCGAGGGGUGGCCACUGGGACGACGACCCUGGAGGACCACACCAAGACUGCGAUACUAGAUUCGCUCAGGAACUUGAAGGACGGGCAGCUGGGCAGCUACUUCUCAAACGCAUUCGAAUCAAACAAGAGGGUGAAGUGGCCAAGCAACCUCAAGCUCAAGGCAGACACCCACAUCAUACUGGUCUGGCACAUCGCGACCGGCCUCUGCGAGAUCAGCUUCUUCAGCGAGGUGAAGGGGCUCACCGCCGUGCGGCGACCGCGGCCUUUCGUAGUUGAUUCUGCGUGGUCUCGGCACUACGCAACCGCGGCCAGUUUAUCCAACUACUGUGCGUAUCUGGUGAGGAAGGCGCUGGUGCCGGACAACCCCAUUGUUGCCGGAAUGGUGCUUGAUGAGGUGAUCAAAGAACUCGACUACGUCGUCUCCAAAUCCAGUACCAUGGAACUGGAAGGUGUGUACCAUAGGCUUAUGAAGAUAGUCCCCAAGCCCUGCAAGGAUCACGAUCAGAGCUGGAGCUGGGGCCCUGACGACGUGGAAGCAGCGACACCCAUGGAAGUCGAUCAAGCGGACCGAAGAAAAGGCUACAAAGAUCUCCACAUUGGGUGCUCCAUAACAAGGAUGGGCGCGGUGCUCGGGAAACACCUGACGGAGGCGUAUGAAGGCGACGCCGCAGGCUUGUGGAGGGACCUGGCCAGCUUCUGGACCGGCUUCCUCCUCCACUUGGCCGUGAACACGAGGGCGGUCAUGCACGGGAGGCAUCUCGCCGGCGACAGCGAGCUCAUCACACACCUGUGGGCGCUGCUCUCGCACGCCUGCUUUAGUGGGAACGCCGUCCAUGGGGAGGAGGGCCCGGACCUGGAGGGCGUCCCUAAUUUCGACACGGUAGUUAACCAGCAGGCAACCUGA
rnacentral:rRNA from 1 species